AGAAAUAAGUAAAGAGCAACUGGUCAUUUUGUUAUCCACACAAAUUGUUGGCCUGCCUGGUAGGGACAAGACCCACCCCCCAAAGGGGAUCAUUUUUUUUCUGUUUGGUGUUGCAAACCAGAAGGCAAAACAAGAUAAACAAAAUCAGCACUUCUCUCUGAUGCCAAUCCAAUAACAAGGACUCAGUUUUGAGAAAAAAGGAAAAAGAAGUUUAUUGCUUUGCUAGCAAAGGAGAAGCACGGGACCUUCUGUCCCAGAGGCUGUAAUUAUGCCCAUGAAGGGGAGCAUUGGGUGUCAAGAGCUGUCCAUGGGUUGCAUGUGGGUCUCUGCGCGUGGAAGCCUCAUGGAUAGAGACACGUGGUAAAUGGGAGUGGCCAGUAAACAUUACCUCUGGUCAACUGCCCAUGGACAAAGUGAAUCUCUUUCCCACUCUGCCAUGGCCUACACAGCACCUGAGAUGGGUGUGACCUGCCAAGAUGUCAAUCAACCUGCUGACUGUAAGACCUCUCAAAGCAAGAGUCGGCCCUUGAAACCUUAUCCCUGCCUUUAAUGGACCCCUUUAAACCACUGGAGCCAUUUUCCCUUUAUCUAGUUCCAGAACCCAUGUGGUCACGAUCACGGGCUUUGCUUUCUGUAAAUACUGAGUAUAUGUGUUUUUUUUACAUACUAAUUAUCUGAAAUUGUUAAGUUUCAGGGUGGCUUGGAUUAUCCUGGGCAGGAAUAAGGACUCCUUAAUGAGACGCUGGCCACCACCCUUCACGAAAAUGGGUUUUUAAAGAGGGUCAUUAUCCAAAUAUCCUAUAACUCUGAGGGAAAUGAGCCUGGAUGAGGCUGACACGUGGGAGAACAAAUUGGAGAAGUCAAUGAAUGCCAGUCCUUGGAUACCUGGAAAAACCAUCAUGUGAAUAACAUUAGCUUUUCAGUGAAAAAGGCCACAUGGAGAACCAAGAACUGAAGCAACCCAGCCAACCAGCCUGUCAACUUCAAGACACGUGAGGUCACCCAGCUCCAGCUCUGGAGCCAGCUGACUAGCCACAUAAGAAUCAGCCCAAAUGUGCUAGGUCUAUUUGCUGACCAACAGAUUUGCAAACUAAUAAAUGAUUUCA